rnacentral:rRNA from 1 species
UACAGAGGUGGCAAGCGUUGUUCGGAAUUACUGGGCGUAAAGGGCGAGUAGGUGGCCAUCUAAGUCAGACGUGAAAUCCCCCGGCUUAACCUGGGAACUGCGUCUGAUACUGGACGGCUUGAGUAUGGGAGAGGGAUGUAGAAUUCCAGGUGUAGCGGUGAAAUGCGUAGAUAUCUGGAGGAACACCGGUGGCGAAGGCGACAUCCUGGACCGGUAUUGACGCUGAGGCGCGAAAGCCAGGGGAGCAAAGCGGG